rnacentral:rRNA from 1 species
AGCAUAUCAAUAAGCGGAGGAAAAGAAACCAACAGGGAUUGCCUCAGUAACGGCGAGUGAAGCGGCAACAGCUCAAAUUUGAAAUCUGGCCCCAGGCCCGAGUUGUAAUUUGCAGAGGAUGCUUUUGGCGCGGUGCCUUCCGAGUUCCCUGGAACGGGACGCCAUAGAGGGUGAGAGCCCCGUCUGGUUGGACACCAAGCCUUUGUAAAGCUCCUUCGACGAGUCGAGUAGUUUGGGAAUGCUGCUCUAAAUGGGAGGUACAUGUCUUCUAAAGCUAAAUACCGGCCAGAGACCGAUAGCGCACAAGUAGAGUGAUCGAAAGAUGAAAAGCACUUUGGAAAGAGAGUUAAACAGCACGUGAAAUUGUUAAAAGGGAAGCGUUUAUGACCAGACGUGGGCCGGUUAAUCAUCCAGCGUUCUCGCUGGUGCACUUUGCCGGUCCAGGCCAGCAUCAGUUCGUUGCGGGGGAUAAAGGCUUUGGGAAUGUAGCUCCUCGGAGUGUUAUAGCCCUCUGCGUAAUACCCUGCGGCGGACUGAGGUUCGCGCUCUGCAAGGAUGCUGGCGUAAUGGUCAUCAACGACCCGUCUUGAAACACGGACCAAGGAGUCGUCUUCGUAUGCGAGUGUUCGGGUGUAAAACCCCUACGCGAAAUGAAAGUGAACGCAGGUGAGAGCUUCGGCGCAUCAUCGACCGAUCCUGAUGUUCUCGGAUGGAUUUGAGUAAGAGCAUACGGGGCCGGACCCGAAAGAAGGUGAACUAUGCCUGUAUAGGGUGAAGCCAGAGGAAACUCUGGUGGAGGCUCGCAGCGGUUCUGACGUGCAAAUCGAUCGUCAAAUAUGGGCAUGGGGGCGAAAGACUAAUCGAACCUUCUAGUA